rnacentral:rRNA from 1 species
GAGGAAUAUUGGUCAAUGGACGGAAGUCUGAACCAGCCAAGUAGCGUGCAGGAUGACGGCCCUAUGGGUUGUAAACUGCUUUUAUGUGGGGAUAAAGUGAGCUACGUGUAGUUUAUUGCAGGUACCACAUGAAUAAGGACCGGCUAAUUCCGUGCCAGCAGCCGCGGUAAUACGGAAGGUCCAGGCGUUAUCCGGAUUUAUUGGGUUUAAAGGGAGCGUAGGCUGGAGAUUAAGUGUGUUGUGAAAUGUAGACGCUCAACGUCUGAAUUGCAGCGCAUACUGGUUUUCUUGAGUACGCACAACGUUGGCGGAAUUCGUCGUGUAGCGGUGAAAUGCUUAGAUAUGACGAAGAACUCCGAUUGCGAAGGCAGCUGACGGGAGCGCAACUGACGCUUAAGCUCGAAGGUGCGGGUAUCGAACAGGAUUAGAUACCCUGGUAGUCCGCACAGUAAACGAUGGAUGCCCGCUGUUGGUACCUGGUAUCAGCGGCUAAGCGAAAGCAUUAAGCAUCCCACCUGGGGAGUACGCCGGCAACGGUG